ACAUGCUUACAACAUAGUUAAUGCAUUGGAUGCCAUUAUAUCUCCGUAGCUAAGAAAACCUAGGAUAGAGUAGUACUGGGAUGGGUGAUCACCAAGGAAUUCCUAGUGUUUCACAUGCC
rnacentral:rRNA from 1 species